AGUGAAUCUAACAAACUUGGGGUAAGAAGUUGGUCUUAGAAAUUGUUAACCGCGUGUGAAGUCUAAAAAGCCAUCCUUUUCCUUAAUGCAAGAUUUAAAGGCUCUCUUAUUUCUAUCUCUUGACUAAGAAAAAGGCUAAGAUUUGGAUUGGGAUUCAAUUGCAUGGUCACCACAUCUUAUCUGCAUCUUUUCCAGCAUAUCCAUGUCCAAAGGAGAUCAAGUCUGAGGGCAACACAUUGGUGGGUGAUCUGAGGAUUCUCAUUGACUUUGCCAUAGCUAGUAUCUGUUUGUACGCACCCUUCUUCUUGUUUUUGGUUUCUUUUUGUAUGUUGGCUAUUUGGAAACCCUCUCAGGGCAAUCACACAUGUCGAAAACUUGUGAUGCUGAAUAGUUCCAUAUGGUUUUCAUCUAAGCAGCUAAUACCCCCUACCUUCUUUGGACAGAGUCCUUCCUUGUCUCUUUGUUACUAGCUAUAUUGUGUAAGAGAACUUAAAAUCUGGCCAUCUCAUUCUCUACUGGUUACCAGUCUCUGCAUAAAUGGUGAAUUCUACCAAUACCUUUUACCAUCAGCAAAGUUUCCUGCUCAUGUGCUAUAAUAGCCAUAUCUCUGCAGUGGACAAGAACCUGUGAGAUUUGUCGCACACGAUUAGUCCUUAGCAUCAACUAUGGGUCGCCAGGCACUCAGUUCCUCUGCCAAGACCCAUCUCUGUCUGUGUCUGUGUCUCUGUCUCUCUCACACGCGCGCACGCAAACACGGACAAACACAAGUACUACUAUGUGCUGCCUCCAUCUUUCUUUCCACUGAGGUUUACUCCAUUAAAUAGGCUAUGACCGUGCUGACAGUACAUAAACAAAGGUGUGGUAUUUCUCUCAGUACGAAAAUCCAGGAUUUGAAUUGGUCAAUGAUUUCAAAUUGGGGCACCUCGAUGCAACAAUUAGUUCACCACUCCAUUCCACCACAAUGUUAUGCUCUUGUUUCCUCUCUUAUUUAUUUGAUAUGUAUACCUGCAUAAUGGCUGAAGCAAACUGGCUUAUUUGCCAUAGCAAAGUGACCUGUGAUUGAGGAUGCCAUUAUAUGCGUGCACAAUGAGCUUUAGUUUCUAUUACAGUAAGAUUGAAUCAUGGCCUCAGAACUGGAAUUUAAGUUUGAAAUUCAAGCUGAACACUUUUCGGUGCAUGUAUUUUAAUUGAGGAUACUUAAUGGGUAUCUGUCAGACUCGUGCUGCUGAUGUUGAGGCUUUUCACAAAGUAAACUUGAUAUCGCGUAACCAGAUCAUAUUUUUUCAAUCUGGAGUUUUUUUCUCAUUAUAUCCGCUGGAGUUCUUUGUAUUGUCUUAGAAUCCACCAAUUUUUUCCUUUGCAGUUUCUGUUUUUCAUCUGGAAUCCUCGACAACCUAUCAGUCAUCUUUUAUAUAUGAUGUCAACUAAAUUUUUCUCAUAAUCUUGUUAUGCUAAAAAAUAUUAUCUUAAAAAAAUAUUCUUGCUCCUCGAUGCUCUCUUAGCCGAUCAUAUUAUCCCUUUCUAUCUUUACAAAGCAAAUGGAGGAGAGGCUAGUUUAAUUCUUGCCAUACUAGGAACUAAUUUUGGUACGGUUGACAUGAUGUGAAAUAUCCAAUUGUCGUUUCUCCUUUGCAAAUGCACUUCUGGAAGCAAUAUUCCUAAUAAUCUAGGUUAGUGCUUUGAAGAGCCCAUGCUGAUUUCAAUAAUGGGGUGGUUUUAGAUUUGAACGCCUGAAUAUCACCAGUAAUAUUUAGCUAGUUGCUUUGGUGUCUGAAGGUCCGAUUAGAAACUGACAUGGGGUGGGAUUACUGAAUUGGGGGGCUUAAGAUCUAAGACUAUCAAAACUUAUAUGGCGCAAAAAAUAGGCACCAAGCUGACUGGUUUUCAUGACUCUUUAUUUUGUAUACAGGCACUCCUUGCUGAUUUUGAAGUCUCUGGAGGCAUAUAUUCUUGAGCUGGCAUUGAAGAUACUGAUUCAGUAUGUCUAUGGCUGGUAGCAAAUGUUAUGUUGGAGUAUUCAUGUGAACAGGCCACAACCCGUCUACGAAAGAACUUAGAAAAUGCUAAAGCAAGUUUAGAAGUUCUUGUUGCUGAUCUACAAUUCUUAAGGGAGCAAAUAACAAUCACGCAGGUUACGAGCAAUAAUUGGGAUGUUCACUAAAGAGAAUCCGUCAGGUUGGUGCUCCUGCCAAAGACUCUUAAAGGAAUCUUUUCAACUCGAAUCAUGGUAGCAGAAUGUGUACUCCUGGAUGAGAGUACAACUUUGAUCUCCCCAUUUUCAAUUAGGUGAAUGAAUUAUGUGUCACUCUGUGAUCACAAUGGUUAUGACCCACUAUUGACUGAUUUUGGUUAGGUUUAGUUAGAAUUACUGCAUUACACAAAGCUUGUCAUGUAAACGAUUUUGAUUGAGAACCUCUUGCGCUUGAGUUUUCACUUUCUGUAUGCGGUGCGCUAGUUUUGAGUUAAUGUUGGGUCCAUCUA